GACGAACGCUGGCGGCGUGCUUAACACAUGCAAGUCGAACGGUAAGGCUCCAGCUUGCUGGGGUACACGAGUGGCGAACGGGUGAGUAACACGUGGGUGACCUGCCCUGCACUUCGGGAUAAGCCUGGGAAACUGGGUCUAAUACCGGAUAGGACCGCACCGUGAGGGUGUGGUGGAAAGUUUUUUCGGUGUGGGAUGGGCCCGCGGCCUAUCAGCUUGUUGGUGGGGUAAUGGCCUACCAAGGCGGCGACGGGUAGCCGGCCUGAGAGGGUGGACGGCCACAUUGGGACUGAGACACGGCCCAGACUCCUACGGGAGGCAGCAGUGGGGAAUAUUGCACAAUGGGCGGAAGCCUGAUGCAGCGACGCCGCGUGGGGGAUGACGGCCUUCGGGUUGUAAACUCCUUUCACCAUCGACGAAGGGUUUCUGACUGUAGAUGGAGAAGAGGCACCUGCUAACUACGUGCCAGCAGCCGCGGUAAUACGUAGGGUGCGAGUGUUGUCCCGAAUUACUGGGCGUAAAGAGCUCGUAGGUGGUUUGUCGCGUCGUCUGUGAAAUUCCGGGGCUUAACUCCGGGCGUGCAGGCGAUACAGGCAUAACUUGAGUACUGUAGGGGAGACUGGAAUUCCUGGUGUAGCGGUGAAAUGCGCAGAUAUCAGGAGGAACACCGGUGGCGAAGGCGGGUCUCUGGGCAGUAACUGACGCUGAGGAGCGAAAGCAUGGGGAGCGAACAGGAUUAGAUACCCUGGUAGUCCAUGCCGUAAACGGUGGGCGCUAGGUGUGGGUUUCCUUCCACGGGAUCCGUGCCGUAGCUAACGCAUUAAGCGCCCCGCCUGGGGAGUACGGCCGCAAGGCUAAAACUCAAAGGAAUUGACGGGGGCCCGCACAAGCAGCGGAGCAUGUGGAUUAAUUCGAUGCAACGCGAAGAACCUUACCUGGGCUUGACAUAUACAGGAUCGCGCCAGAGAUGGUGUUUCCCUUGUGGCUUGUAUACAGGUGGUGCAUGGUUGUCGUCAGCUCGUGUCGUGAGAUGUUGGGUUAAGUCCCGCAACGAGCGCAACCCUUGUCUUAUGUUGCCAGCACGUUGUGGUGGGGACUCGUAAGGAACUGCCGGGGUUAACUCGGAGGAAGGUGGGGAUGACGUCAAAUCAUCAUGCCCCUUAUGUCCAGGGCUUCACACAUGCUACAAUGGUCGGUACAGUGGGUUGCCAGUCCGUGAGGGCGAGCUAAUCCCGCAAAGCCGGUCUCAGUUCGGAUCGGGGUCUGCAACUCGACCCCGUGAAGUCGGAGUCGCUAGUAAUCGCAGAUCAGCAACGCUGCGGUGAAUACGUUCCCGGGCCU
rnacentral:rRNA from 1 species